rnacentral:tRNA from 1 species
AGUUGUUUGGCGUACGAGGAAACGUCUUUGGCUUUGAAAUUCAAUCGCCAGCGUUCGAAACGCGGAACAAUAUC